CCUCCGGACUGUUGAACGACCCAAGUAGCAUAGCGAAAGGGAACAGGAUGAAAGAGGAA
rnacentral:ncRNA from 12 species